rnacentral:ncRNA from 1 species
AAAAUUAAGAUCGCGCAAACCCCUUGUCCGGAGUCCUUAGAGACCCUCAACUUCAAUAUAUAUUUGUGAACUUAGAAGUUAAAUAAAAAGUUUUUAAAAACGCAAUCCGAUACGGCAGCUCGGUACUUUGCAUGCUAGCGGGGUUUGGCCUCUACUAGUAUCUAAGAAGAAUUUCCUUCCUCAGCGAUAAAAAAAAAAAAAAAUAGCCAAGUGCCUCGUCAUCUAAUUAGUGACACGCAUGAAUGGAUUAACGAGAUUCCUACUGUCCCUAUCUACU